AACAGGAUCCUGGUCCCCUACAUCUUGAUUGCUGUGAUGCAGAAGAGAGCGUCAGUGAAGAAUCCAAUCCCGGCUAUCAUGAUUGCUGUGAAAUGGUAGAGAUGGGUCUUUGCAUUGUCGAGUGCCGAGAAGAUGGCGAGCGUCCUUUGUCCUUGAGACAUUGCUAAUCAAUCUCAACUGUCUGAUUAUCUUACCGAGCUAGGCCAAAUGGGUGUCGAUUGUGUGUUGGAGAUGGAAUGGUGGUGUUGGAAGGAUGUUUUGCAUAGCAGAAAUUGCAGUUAGAGGUGAUAGGGUGCUGGUUUCCAUUUUAUCUGGAUUGCGUUUAAGAGAGGUGGAUAAUUCCACACGCGUGUAGGAGCUGAAGGUGCAUCUAUCUAACUGUUACACAUUUGUGAGAUCUUAGCUUUCAAUCAGUGUGGAUGCAUUUUCAUCAGGACUACUUGGCAAUAAGAGUGAGGUGGAUGAAGGGCUCAAAAGAAGGUUGAACAAGAGAAGAUACCAAGUAGCCAAUUCAAGAUGAGGCAUAGCCAACAGUUGAAGUUCCGGGUAAUUUCUUUUGUAUGGGUCCUAGUUUAGGGGGGUAAGUGUUUAGUUAGGAGGGUUAAAGUCAAUUUUCGAAGUGGGCCACUUGGGUCAUUUCCUCUUUUAUUGAAUUGAGUUGUUACCAAUUUUGUGAUUAGGAUUCUUAUCAAACAAUAGUGUGAAUUAUUUUUUGAAUGACUAUCAGGU